UGAGGAAUAUUGGUCAAUGGGGGCAACCCUGAACCAGCCAAGUCGCGUGAAGGAUGAAGGUCUUAUGGAUUGUAAACUUCUUUUACACGGGAAUAAAGUGGGGGACGUGUCCCCCUUUGCAUGUACCGUGUGAAUAAGGAUCGGCUAACUCCGUGCCAGCAGCCGCGGUAAUACGGAGGAUCCGAGCGUUAUCCGGAUUUAUUGGGUUUAAAGGGUGCGCAGGCGGGAUGUUAAGUCGGCGGUGAAAUUUUGCAGCUCAACUGUAAAAGUGCCUUCGAUACUGGCCUCCUUGAGUGUGGAUGAAGUAGGCGGAAUUUGUGGUGUAGCGGUGAAAUGCUUAGAUAUCACGAAGAACUCCGAUUGCGAAGGCAGCUUACCGGGGUACAACUGACGCUGAUGCACGAAAGUGUGGGUA
rnacentral:rRNA from 1 species